rnacentral:rRNA from 1 species
AUUGAACGCUGGCGGCAGGCCUAAUACAUGCAAGUCGAACGGUAACAUAAAAGAAGCUUGCUUCUUUUGAUGACGAGUGGCGGACGGGUGAGUAAUAUUUGGGAAACUACCUGAUAGAGGGGGACAACAGUUGGAAACGACUGCUAAUACCGCAUAUAGCCUGAGGGUGAAAGCAGCAAUGCGCUAUCAGAUGUGCCCAAACGGGAUUAGCUAGUAGGUGAGGUAAAGGCUCACCUAGGCGACGAUCUCUAGCUGGUCUGAGAGGAUGAUCAGUCACAUUGGGACUGAGACACGGCCCAGACCUCCGUACGGGAGG